CCAUUCCCAAAUGCUCGAGUGCAAAAUUUGACGAGGAAGGACCACUGAAGAGGUCGUGGAGGUGUUCUGCCAGCUGUUUCCCUGUUCUUUCGCAAGAUCUCUAGGCCCAAAAGUGUCUCUCCUAUUUAGGGGUGCUAGGAGAUGCAAAGCAUUCUAGCUUCUGGAAGGUUUCCAGGAGAAACUAAGUCCCUGGACUAUUGAGAACAGUCCAUGCCUUUUGCUGCACAACCAAUUGUCUGCUGCUAGAUGUGACUGGACCUUAUAUUCAAAGCUUGCCUUGAACUGUUUAUCUGAGCCAAAAAUGCAUUAACAAUUAAAGGAGAGACUGGUAUGUCAAAGGAAGGAAGGUGACUGGAGAUUGUGAUGAUUUUAAUGACUGCAAUUAUUGGAAGAUUAUUCAACAAGCAUCAUAGGUUUGUUUACUGCAUCACUAGGAAACUAUGGGGGGCCUGCUUGGCUUGAGACUGUACUUUCCCUCCUCCCUCCCCAGCCACUAUGAAGGAGUCUCAGAACCAAGCAAAGUGACAGGAGAGUCAGUUUUCUUCGUUUUAGGGGGAGUCCUACCCAAAGGAUACACAUGUGUUGCCUCAAACAACGCUAACAGAACUCUCCUCAGAGCCACUGUAAGAUUUCAUUUUCAUCUGAACCUGAUAACAAAGAAGCCCAGAGGCCAGAAGACUCUGGUCAGGAAUCCUCGGCUGGCCAGCAUGCUAGCUUCCUCAGUUUAAGCACUUCUUGGGCAGCCUGAGAGGAGGCUCUUCCCUCCUUCAUCUAAAGCUCCGAGAAGGAAGACACUCCUCCACCUCUAAGAAGCAUACCUCCAGAGCUCACCUGGGAAAGUUCCCCCUUCCUUCCUUCAACAGUCCCCUUCAAAUCAGUCCCUGGCAUGACUGUUCAGAAUAAGUAAAGGAAAAGGUAUGACCAAGAGCAUUAUCAGUUUGGGACUAGCCAAGUUUUGACUGUAAAUAUAACUGCAAGGGAUGCAAACACAGAAAGGUUCUAAUAGUGACAGAGUGUGCUUCGGUUCACAAUCACUCACCCUGGAAAUGCUGUUGUGGAGGUUAACUUUAGCCGGUGGACAUCCCUAGCAAACACUCCCCUCUUCUGGGCACCAAGGCUGGAGUGAUCGGGUGCUCUUGCUGGGAUCUGUAAUGACCAGCCUGGGACUUAAGAUGGACUGAGCUGGCGUUGAGAACCUUCCCUACUCAAGUGUGAGCUUGCAAGCUUCUGCAAAUGACAAUUAGGAACCUAUUACAAGCCAUUAGAUUGAUCAAUGUACCUUAAACAAUG